GUAAUACCCGGCUAGACUCCGGUAUCGGAAUUCCUACCGUCCGGUGGAAUCUCGGAUGUCGGAGAUCUCUAAAAGGGUAGAAUCAUGUUUUAUAAAAAUGUUUUCAUGUUUUUAAUGGUUUUAAGUAUGAAAUUGAAUGAGUUUUGCAUGAAAAAGUCCUUGGAGGAAAACCCAGGUUCGGCCGCCGAAAGUCAAGUUCGGCCGCCGAACAUGCAUGCGUUUUGGAGGCACGUUAGGCCCCCGAAAGCAUGAGUUAGGGAAGCAAAGGUUCGGCCGCCGAAAGUCAAGUUCGGUCGCCGAACAUUUGCAUGGAUGCGGAGGCACAUUCGGCCCCCGAACGUGGUCUGGCCAGCCACUAUAAAAGGGUCCCUUAGCCGAAAACGGGCGAACUUUUUUCCCUAUUUUCGGCCAAGGUGAGCUUUCCGCCAUCCUCCCUCAAUCUUGAGUUUUUCCUUCCUUUUUCCAUGAUCUUUACAAGUUUAUAACUUUGGUUUUGAAGAUCUUUGAGCUUAGAACGAGUUUUGGAGCUUGGAGACCAAAAGUUGGAACUUCUCCCAUCUCCAAG
rnacentral:lncRNA from 1 species